AUUUAUAAAGAACAAAAAUUUAUUUUUUAUAGUUCUGGAGACUGGGAAGUCCAAGAGAAAGUUGCUGGCAUUGGUGUCUGCCUAGGGCUACUCUCUACUUCCAAAAUGGUGCCCUGUUGCUGCAUCUUCAUGUGGAGGAAGGCGGAAAGGCAAGGCACUCUUCAAUCUCAAGCCCUUUGGUUAGGGUCUAUUGGAAUUUGCUGGAGUUCCACUACAGACCCUGUUGGCCUGGAUAUCACCAGUGAAGGCUGCAGAACAGCAAAAAUUCCUGCCUGUUCCUUCCUCUGGAAACUUCGUCUCAGAGGGGCACCUGCCAGAUGCCAGCUGGUGCUCUUCUGUUUAAGGUGUCUAUUGAUCCCUGCUGAGAGGUGUCUCCCAGUCAGGAGGCAUGGAGGUCAGAGACCCACUUGAGGAAGCAAUGUGUCACUUAGCAGAGCUCCAGUGCUGUGCUGCGAGAUUCACUGCUCUCUUCAGAGCCAGCAGGUAGGAAUGUUUAAGUCUGCUGAAGCUGCACCCACAGCCGCCCUUUCCUCCAGGUGCUCUUUCCCAGGGAGGUGGGAGUUUUAUCUAUAGGCCCCUGAUUGGGGUUGCUGCCUUUCUUUCAGAGCUGCCCUGCCCAGGGAGGAGGAAUCUAGAGAGGCAGUCUGGCUACAGCUGCUUUGCUAAGCUAUGGUGGGCUCCACCCAGUUAGAACAUCCUGGCAGCUUUGUUUAAACAGUGAGGGGAAAACUGCCUAUUCAAGCCUCAGUGAUGUGGAUGCUCCUCCCCUGAUCAAGCUGGAGCCACCCAGGUCGACUUCAGACUGCUGUGCUGGAAGCAAGAAUUUCAAGCCAGUGGAUCUUAGCUUGCUGGGCUCCAUGGGGGUGGGAUCCACUGAGCUAGAGAACUUGGCUCCCUGGCUUCAGCCCCCUUUCCAGGGGAGUGAACAGUUCUGUCUUGCUGGCAUUCCAGGUGCCACUGGGGUAUGAAAAACACUCCUGCAGCUAGCUCCAUGUCUGCCCAAACAGCCACCCAAUUUUGUGAUUGAAAUACAGGACCCUGGUGGUAUAGACACUGAAGGAAUCUCCUGGUCUGCAGGUUGCAAAGAUGGUGAGGAAAGCAUACUAUCUGGGCUGGAAUGCACCGUUUUUCCUGGCACAGUCCCUCAAGGCUUCCCUUGGCUAGGGGAGGGAGUUCCCUGAUCCCUUGUACUUCCUGGGUGAUGCCCCACCCUGCUUCAGUUCACUCUCCAUGGUCUGCACCCACUGUCUAACCAGUCCCAAUGAGAUGAGCCCAGUACCUGAGUUGGAAAUUCAGAAUCACCUGCCCUCUGCAUUGAUCUCGCUGGGAGCUGAGAAUUGCUGCUGUUCCUAUUGGGCCGUCUUGCCAGCCCUCAUUUUUUUUUUUUGAGAUGGAGUCUCCCUGUGACCCA
rnacentral:lncRNA from 13 species